CCCUACGGGGCGCAGCAGGCGCGAAAACUUUACAAUGCGGGAAACCGUGAUAAGGGAACUCCGAGUGCCCGUUAAAUCGGGCUGUCCAUCUGUGUAAAUAACAGGUGAAGAAAGGGCCGGGCAAGACCGGUGCCAGCCGCCGCGGUAAUACCGGCGGCUCGAGUGGUGGCCACUAUUACUGGGCUUAAAGCGUUCGUAGCUGGUUUGUUAAGUCUCUGGGGAAANCUUCCGGCUUAACCGGAAGGCGUCUCAGGGAUACUGGCAGACUAGGGACCGGAAGAGGUGAGGGGUACUCCAGGGGUAGGAGUGAAAUCCUGUAAUCC
rnacentral:rRNA from 1 species